rnacentral:rRNA from 1 species
AUACGUAUGGAGCAAGCGUUAUCCGGAUUUACUGGGUGUAAAGGGAGCGUAGACGGCAUAGCAAGUCUGAAGUGAAAUCCCAUGGCUUAACCAUGGAACUGCUUUGGAAACUGCCAGGCUAGAGUGCAGGAGAGGUAAGCGGAAUUCCUAGUGUAGCGGUGAAAUGCGUAGAUAUUAGGAGGAACACCAGUGGCGAAGGCGGCUUACUGGACUGUAACUGACGUUGAGGCUCGAAAGCGUGGGGAGCAAACAGGAUUAGAUACCCUGGUAGUCCACGCUGUAAACGAUGAUUACUAGGUGUUGGGGACCAAAGGUCCUCGGUGCCGCCGCAAACGCAUUAAGUAUUCCACCUGGGGAGUACGAUCGCAAGAUUGAAACUUAAAUGAAUUGACGGGG